CAGACUACUUACACAAGAUGCUGAUCUCGGAUUUUGCGCAGCUGGAUCAGGAUGCAGUUUUCCAAACAGAUUCAUCAGUAGAUUAAUCUGAUCAGAAGCAGACAGCAGAAGAGGAAGAGUACCUGCUAAAAUCAGAUACACAAAGACCACUAAGAUGAAAAACCAAAAACUCCAGCAGGGUAAAUCCAGCAGGGAAGAAUAAAGGCAACCUCUCUGGGAACAUAGUGUAGCAGCAUGAAGACUUAGCAUGAAAAAUACACCUUGCUACCUCUUUAUACCAUGCUGUCACUCAUGAAAAAGGUGUGGAAGGUCAAACACAAUAGGUCUGAAUCUAUGGAUGGAUUUAAAUAACGCUUAGAAGGCACCUCCCCAACCUUCAACAACUACCAACCUCAUUAGUCAACAGCCAUCAACAUCAAGACAAUAUCCUCCACCAGUAAAGACUACAACUUACUGAAGGCUCAGAUAAAAGCAAAGUGUAACGGAAACUCAGCAAAGCAACAAUUGAUCCUCUCCUGGGGAAACUUCAAGUUCAAACAUGAAGCGUCUCAAACCCAGUCCUCACGGAUUGAAGUGCUAUGACCAACAAGGCCUCCAAAGAACCUCCUUGGAAAAGCAGGUGAGUUACACCCUAAUC